CAAGUCGAGCGGUAACAGGUCCUUCGGGAUGCUGACGAGCGGCGGACGGGUGAGUAAUGCUUAGGAAUCUGCCUGGUAGUGGGGGAUAGCCCGGGGAAACCCGGAUUAAUACCGCGUACGCCCUUCGGGGGAAAGCAGGGGAUCUUCGGACCUUGCGCUAUCAGAUGAGCCUAAGCCGGAUUAGCUAGUUGGUAGGGUAAAGGCCUACCAAGGCGACGAUCCGUAGCUGGUCUGAGAGGAUGAUCAGCCACAUCGGGACUGAGACACGGCCCGAACUCCUACGGGAGGCAGCAGUGGGGAAUAUUGGACAAUGGGGGCAACCCUGAUCCAGCCAUGCCGCGUGUGUGAAGAAGGCUUUCGGGUUGUAAAGCACUUUCAGUGAGGAGGAAGGCCUUAAGGUUAAUACCCUUGAGGAUUGACGUUACUCACAGAAGAAGCACCGGCUAACUCCGUGCCAGCAGCCGCGGUAAUACGGAGGGUGCAAGCGUUAAUCGGAAUUACUGGGCGUAAAGCGCGCGUAGGUGGUUUGAUAAGCGAGAUGUGAAAGCCCCGGGCUUAACCUGGGAACGGCAUUUCGAACUGUCAGGCUAGAGUGUGGUAGAGGGUAGUGGAAUUUCCUGUGUAGCGGUGAAAUGCGUAGAUAUAGGAAGGAACACCAGUGGCGAAGGCGGCUACCUGGACCAACACUGACACUGAGGUGCGAAAGCGUGGGGAGCAAAC
rnacentral:rRNA from 1 species